GUGAAUACCAACCUGUGAAUAUCAGGCUUCAGUGAGGAGUGUGAGCAACACUAAGGUUGUGGACAAUGCUGACAUUGCCAGAACUUACUGUCCACCUCUACGGCAUUACUGGACAAGUAAUACUACAUCCUGUACUGUUGAAGAGGAAAUGUUUGGAGAGAAUUGCAUGUCGGAGAGAUCAAGCUUAUUUAAUAACAAUGUGAUCUUCUCAGCACUGAGGCCCUAGUUGAACUCGGUCUGUUCUAUUGGGCAAGCCACAUCAUUCACCGGAAUCCUAAAACUAUCUAUCCUGAGAUCUCUCACAGGAAUAGAUUAUUAGGUGGACAGAGGAAAGAUGUACUCAGUCUUCUCAAAAAGUACAACAUCCUUACUGAGUCUGAACACUUACCCAAUUUUUGCAAAGAAAAUUAAACCAAUUAUCUCCCAAAGAUUUUGGUACAAUGAACAUUGGAAAGCAACCAAUUUGACAAACCAGUUUGAAAAUAUCCCUUGACAUAUUUUACACCCUCUACAUCCAUGUUUAAUUUUUCUAUUCACCUCUCUCUACCUCACUCCCAUUAAAGAACAAUGGUGAAUUGAGAAAUCAGUGCUGUAAUUUUACAUAUGCAAAUGAUAAAUAUUAUAACUCGGUAAUAGGGGAGUGAUGGAAAUUAAAUUUAAAUAUUCUGGCUAUAUUAUUACAUUAUUGACAAU